rnacentral:rRNA from 1 species
GACGAACGCUGGCGGCGUACUUAACACAUGCAAGUCGAACGGAAAGGCCCUGCUUUUGUGGGGUGCUCGAGUGGCGAACGGGUGAGUAACACGUGAGUAACCUGCCCUUGACUUUGGGAUAACUUCAGGAAACUGGGGCUAAUACCGGAUAGGAGCUCCUGCUGCAUGGUGGGGGUUGGAAAGUUUCGGCGGUUGGGGAUGGACUCGCGGCUUAUCAGCUUGUUGGUGGGGUAGUGGCUUACCAAGGCUUUGACGGGUAGCCGGCCUGAGAGGGUGACCGGCCACAUUGGGACUGAGAUACGGCCCAGACUCCUACGGGAGGCAGCAGUGGGGAAUAUUGCACAAUGGGCGGAAGCCUGAUGCAGCAACGCCGCGUGCGGGAUGACGGCCUUCGGGUUGUAAACCGCUUUCGCCUGUGACGAAGCGUGAGUGACGGUAAUGGGUAAAGAAGCACCGGCUAACUACGUGCCAGCAGCCGUGGUGAUACGUAGGGUGCGAGCGUUGUCCGGAUUUAUUGGGCGUAAAGGGCUCGUAGGUGGUUGAUCGCGUCGGAAGUGUAAUCUUGGGGCUUAACCCUGAGCGUGCUUUCGAUACGGGUUGACUUGAGGAAGGUAGGGGAGAAUGGAAUUCCUGGUGGAGCGGUGGAAUGCGCAGAUAUCAGGAGGAACACCAGUGGCGAAGGCGGUUCUCUGGGCCUUUCCUGACGCUGAGGAGCGAAAGCGUGGGGAGCGAACAGGCUUAGAUACCCUGGUAGUCCACGCUGUAAACGGUGGGUACUAGGUGUGGGGUCCAUUCCACGGGUUCCGUGCCGUAGCUAACGCUUUAAGUACCCCGCCUGGGGAGUACGGCCGCAAGGCUAAAACUCAAAGGAAUUGACGGGGCCCCGCACAAGCGGCGGAGCAUGCGGAUUAAUUCGAUGCAACGCGUAGAACCUUACCUGGGUUUGACAUGGAUCGGGAGUGCUCAGAGAUGGGUGUGCCUCUUUUGGGGUCGGUUCACAGGUGGUGCAUGGCUGUCGUCAGCUCGUGUCGUGAGAUGUUGGGUUAAGUCCCGCAACGAGCGCAACCCUUGUUCACUGUUGCCAGCACGUUAUGGUGGGGACUCAGUGGAGACCGCCGGGGUCAACUCGGAGGAAGGUGGGGAUGACGUCAAGUCAUCAUGCCCCUUAUGUCCAGGGCUUCACGCAUGCUACAAUGGCUGGUACAGAGAGUGGCGAGCCUGUGAGGGUGAGCGAAUCUCGGAAAGCCGGUCUCAGUUCGGAUUGGGGUCUGCAACUCGACCUCAUGAAGUCGGAGUCGCUAGUAAUCGCAGAUCAGCAACGCUGCGGUGAAUACGUUCCCGGG